AUGUCCUUAAUGAUUUUAGCUACUCACAAGCUUAAAAGAAGAGAAUGUAAAUAUACACAGUCAGAGGAAGAAUGGUCAAGGAAAAGUAAAGAAAUUGUGAAACAAGGGCCAUUCACUUUGAAAUCAGAAUCUGAAACACUAAUACAUUAUUGGAGGAACUGUGAACUGAUCCAACCAUUUUGGAGAGCAAUCUGGAAUCAUUCCAAGAGAGUUAUAAAACUGUGUAUAUCUUUAGAUCCAAUAAUAUCACUUUUGAGUCUGUUUCCUAAGGUGAUCAGGGAAAAAGGAAAAGAACCUAAAUGCUCUAAAAUAUUUAUAGGAACUCUCCUUGUGGUAGCAAAGAACUGGAAAUUGAGGGGAUGUCCAUCAGUUGAGGAAUGACAGAACAAGUUGUGGCAUGAUUGUGGUGGAAUUCUUCUGUGCUGUAAGAAAUGAAGAGCUGGUUAAUUUAAAAAACCAUGGAAAGACCUAUAUGAAAUUAAUAAUUUGAAGAAAAUCUUGAGGAUGUCAACUUCCAACUUAUACAAAGUAUGUACAAUAUGUAUAUAUAUAUGUAAAUAUAUAUUUCUUGUAAAAUAAUGCCUUCUCUAGUGUGGAGAGGAGAGGGAGUGAGGCAGAUAUCUAGGAAUGUUAAGGUCACCAACAAACUAAUUAAUUUUUUAAAAAAGAAAUAAAGCAGAAUCUGAGAAAUGGAAUCUUUCUACA
rnacentral:lncRNA from 1 species